GAACAUUCAAGAUGAACUUAAGACUCAUCUCCUUUUAUUCCCUGAAAACAUAGUAUGUACAUCAUCCACAAUCUUUUUUUUUUUUUUUAAAACAUCUCAUCAGAAUUUUACACAAUGGCAUAUCUACAAAUGUAUAAUAUAAUCACAGUUUGAAUAUUCCACAAGACAGAUCAAAGGGAAUCAUUGCACAGCAGGAAAACAAAUAAUGGCAACUUCUCUCAUUUUCUUUUACAGAUCGGCACUCGCACAUACUGAACACCAUGUUUUCAUAUUCAUCAAGGGAAACGUGAGGUUUGUUUUAGUCAGCCGCACAAUGCUGCAGCAUGGCUUCAUUUCAAGGCUGUGGAAUCGUGUUGGAUCAGCGGGAACGUCGCCUCUCUCGAGUUGACACGCUAUGACCAAAAAUCAGACGCCGCGUAUUAGCAUGCCUCGGAGGAUUUACUUGGACAAUCCCAUGCGACUGUAUUGCAUAGGCUGUAUUAUGCUUCUGUGCCAGAAGCAAACUGCCAAAAUACAAGACUGUUAAUCACCUUAUUCAGCAGCAAGCACCUACUUCUUGAUUAAAGAUGCAUGAAAAUUUGGCAUAAUUUGCAAAAAUGCAACUUCACUGAAAAUCAGCUAAAAAAGGCUAAUAACACCCAGAAUGAAGACACAAACUCCAGGUUUGCUACCUGCACGCUUGCAUACUGAGCUCACGUCGCAAUGAAGUCAGUUCGAAUGAAAUAAAAAAGUCAACACACCGAAACCUCUGUGCAGAAAUAGAGAGGCUUUAAAGACUCUGCGCACUCAAUCCUGGAAACUUUCAUCUUUAUUAACAUAGUGGUCCAUUUUAACAUAGCCUCAGGGUGAAUUGGGGGGGGGGGGGGGGGGGGCGUGACCCAUAAAAGCCCGUUUCAGACUGUGGGAAAAAAAAAAAGAAAAAGAAAUGGAGGCUUAUCUUUUGUGACAGCUUCUGCAAUCAGAUCAAACCAACUGAAGAGAGACUGGCAUUGUUAAAUUGAGUUGCUCUCUUCCCUUCAUCCAAAGUGUUUGCGAAUGUGUAUCUCUCUUACUUAAAUAGCUGUCAGCGAGAGACAAAAGCAUUAUUGUGUGUAGCUCGGGGAUGCUGAGCUGCAGGUGUGUGUGUGUGUGUGUGUGUGUGUGUGUGUGUGCGCGCGCGCGUCUUCGUUUGGCUGACAGACUCUGCUCUAAAUGCAAAUCGCACGUUCCCUCUCGGUGGAACAAACUCCAUGGUCACUCCGGUUAAAGCCUAUAAGCCCCGACAGCUGAAGCAUGUACACAAGGUGUAAACACAACGAGGCUCGAGAGGUUAACAAAAAGGCACACAUGCAGCCAUGCACACACCAUUUUAAAUACACAC
ensembl:lncRNA